AUGGCAAUUAUUAUUAUCAUUAUCUUUGUAGGCUGAGAUAUAAAUAUCAUCCUUAGCAUAAGUAGCCUUUCCAUACAAAUGGAAUGAAAUUGAAUCCGGUUGUGAGGAUUGGAGAAUGUAAGCUGAAACAAAGCUCUACCUGGAUAAAAAGAGAGACUUCCUCAGGCAUGUACUAGGGCAAUGAUAAGAAAAACGUCUGCUCACAGGAGCAAUCCUUCCUUUCCAAGUGGACCACUUCCUAUGUCUGAGUUAUUGAGAGAAAUUGCCCUGGAGCAUUGCUGCAGUGGAAAAAGAGACCAGUAGAUCUUCACUUCAAGGGAAUUCUGGAUUUUGAUUUUUUUCCCUUGCCUUAUGUCUCUUUAUUCAUGCUUAUAAGAGGUGUGAAAAGUUGGGGGAAUCCUACCUGGUAUGGUUAAGAGAAUAGCAAGCAAUUUAGACAAUGCCAUGAAGGCCACUGCAGGGUACCAGAAUUGUCACCCCAAAAUAUGUCACUUUGGCAUAAGAAUUAUUUUGAGCUGAAGGAAACUGAGAAAUAGCAGGCACAGGAAGAAUUCUCUGCUCUCCCCUUUUUUGCUUAAAAGCAGGACUUAUAUUUCCCUUUGUAAAACUGACAUAAAUUUCUAUUUGUAAAGGUGUUCCCCGUAUUAGGAAGAGAAGGAUGACUCUCUUCAUAACAAACCUUACUAAACAACCCUUAUUUACCAUACAAGUUCUAGUCACCUUCCCACAGUUUGCUGCCCCUAGGAGCCUAAACCCCAACUUUCCUUUGUCUUGUUACUUCUCUCACGCAGGAUUUAGUGCCCGUUGUUAAAAUGGUAUAUAAUCCUCCAGGGCUAACUGCUUGUUUGGGGUCUUCACUUGUAAAAAUGCCUCUGUCUACAUAAAAAUUAAAAUAUUAACAUCAAAUAAAAUUUGUAUGCCUUUUUCCUCAUUUAAUCUGUCUUUUGACAGAUUAAUUCACAAGUCCCACUCACAGUACCUGAGA
rnacentral:lncRNA from 1 species